AGUGAACGCUGGCGGUAGGCCUAACGCAUGCAAGUCGAACGGCAGCGCAGUAAGAGCUUGCUCUUACGGGUGGCGAGUGGCGGACGGGUGAGGAAUACAUCGGAAUCUACUUUUUCGUGGGGGAUAACGUAGGGAAACUUACGCUAAUACCGCAUACGACCUACGGGUGAAAGCAGGGGAUCUUCGGACCUUGCGCGAUUGAAUGAGCCGAUGUCGGAUUAGCUAGUUGGCGGGGUAAAGGCCCACCAAGGCGACGAUCCGUAGCUGGUCUGAGAGGAUGAUCAGCCACACUGGAACUGAGACACGGUCCAGACUCCUACGGGAGGCAGCAGUGGGGAAUAUUGGACAAUGGGCGCAAGCCUGAUCCAGCCAUACCGCGUGGGUGAAGAAGGCCUUCGGGUUGUAAAGCCCUUUUGUUGGGAAAGAAAAGCAGCAGGUUAAUACCCCGCUGUUCUGACGGUACCCAAAGAAUAAGCACCGGCUAACUUCGUG
rnacentral:rRNA from 1 species